rnacentral:rRNA from 1 species
GAAAACGCCGUGCGAGCAGCCGAGGUAUGAGUGAGGGUGCAAGCGUUAAUCGGAAGUACUGGGCGUAAAGCGGGCGCAGGCGGCUUAUUAAGUCAGAUGUGAAAGCCCUAGGCUCAACCUAGGAACUGCAUUUGAAACUAAUAAACUAGAGUAUCGUAGAGGGAGGUAGAAGUCCAGGUGUAGCGGUGAAAUGCGUAGAUAUCUGGAGGAAUACCAGUGGCGAAGGCGACCUCCUGGACGAAAACUGACGCUCAAGCACGAAAGCAUGGGGAGCAAACAGGAUUAGAUACCCGUGUAGUC